GUCGGGGAUAUUGCACAAUGGGCGAAAGCUUGAUGCAGCAACGCCGCGUGGGCGAUGAAGGCCUUCGGGUCGUAAAGCCCUUUUCUGGGAGAAGAGACAGGACGGUAUCCCAGGAAUAAGUGUCGGCUAACUACGUGCCAGCAGCCGCGGUAAUACGUAGGACACGAGCGUUAUCCGGAUUCACUGGGCGUAAAGAGCGUUGAGGCGGUUCUGUAAGUUGGACGUGAAAGCCCCUGGCCUAACUGGGGGAUGCCGUUCAAUACUGCAGGACUUGAGGGCAGCAGAGGGAGGUGGAAUUCCCGGUGUAGUGGUGAAAUGCGUAGAUAUCGGGAGGAACACCAGUGGCGAAGGCGGCCUCCUGGGCUGCACCUGACGCUGAAGGCGAAAGCUAGGGGAGCGAACGGGAUUAGAAACCCCUGUAGUCC
rnacentral:rRNA from 1 species